ACGACAGAGCCCCUUGCUUUGAACCAAAGAGGACCUCUUCCUACUGCAGGGAAUCUACACACCGCUAAGCGACUGUGGCCAGAGCAUCUCCAAAAUGCAAAGUACUGGACAACUUCUUCAUUCGCUUCGCUGUUUGCCGUGCAAGCCUCUGAGGAAACCCUGGAAUACAGGACUGAAAUGAGAAACUGCCCAGAAUUUUCAAUGAUGUUGGAGAUGUGACUUCACCCAUCGGCAGCAGAGUUGUGAUGUGGUCUGAUUGCCAAUGAAGCAACCGACAUGAAAACAGAGAUGGAGGUGCAUGACCCAGGUCACCUAGUGAGUGGCAAGAUCAGAAUUCUCCACUGGGUCUUCCACAUCUCAAUUUUUCCAGUCUUGCUAACGGGACCUAGGAUAAGACAGCUUUCAUAUUUCAGGAAGGCAUGAAGAACAGGGGGA